ACGAACGCUGGCGGCAUGCUUAACACAUGCAAGUUGAACGCAGAAUAGAGCUUCGGCUCUAUUGCUGAGUAGCAAACGGGUGAGUAACGCGUGGGAAUCUACCUUUUUGUGGGGGAUAACUAAGGGAAACUUUAGCUAAUACCGCAUAAGCUCUACGGAGGAAAGGCUUCGGCCGCAAGAAGAGGAGCCCGCGUCAGAUUAGGUAGUUGGUAGGGUAAAAGCCUACCAAGCCAAUGAUCUGUAGCUGGUCUGAGAGGAUGAUCAGCCACACUGGGACUGAGACACGGCCCAGACUCCUACGGGAGGCAGCAGUGGGGAAUAUUGGACAAUGGGGGAAACCCUGAUCCAGCAAUGCCGCGUGAAUGAAGAAGGCCUUAGGGUUGUAAAGUUCUUUCACCUGUGAAGAUAAUGACGGUAGCAGGAUAAGAAGCCCCGGCUAACUCCGU
rnacentral:rRNA from 1 species